UACGCCUGUUUAUCAAAAACAUCGCCUCCUGCAAAAAUCAACGUAUAGGAGGUCCUGCCUGCCCAGUGACUAAGUUAAACGGCCGCGGUAUUUUGACCGUGCAAAGGUAGCGCAAUCACUUGUUUUUUAAAUAAAGACCUGUAUGAAUGGUGAAACGAGGGCUUAACUGUCUCCCCUAUCCAAUCAGUGAAAUUGAUCUACCCGUGCAGAAGCGGGUAUUUUCUUACAAGACGAGAAGACCCUAUGGAGCUUUAGACAAAUAAUCAACUAUGUUAAAAACCCCUAAUUAAAGGACCACAACAAAAUUAGCCAUGAUUAUAGUCUUCGGUUGGGGCGACCACGGAGCAAAAUAAAUCCUCCAUGCGGAAUAAAAUAUUCUUUCAAAACUACGAGAUACACCUCUAAGUCACAGAACCUCUGACCUAUAGAUCCGGCACUAAGCCGAUCAACGAACCAAGUUACCCUAGGGAUAACAGCGCAAUCCUCUCCGAGAGUCCAUAUUGACAAGAGGGUUUACGACCUCGAUGUUGGAUCAGGACAUCCUGAUGGUGCAGCCGCUAUCAAGGGCUCGUUUGUUCAACGAUUAAAGUCCUACGUGAUC
rnacentral:rRNA from 1 species